rnacentral:rRNA from 1 species
AUUGAACGCUGGCGGCAGGCCUAACACAUGCAAGUCGAGCGAGCGGCGGACGGGUGAGUAAUGUAUGGGGACUGCCCGAUAGAGGGGGAUAACUACUGGAAACGGUAGCUAAUACCGCAUACUAUCCGAUACCCCAUAUGGGAUUAGCUAGUAGGUGAGGUAAUGGCUCACCUAGGCGACGAUCCCUAGCUGGUCUGAGAGGAUGAUCAGCCACACUGGAACUGAGAAACGGCCCAGACUCCUACGGAGGCAGCAGUGGGGAAUAGUGCACAAUGGGCGCAAGCCUGAUGCAGCCAUGCCGCGUGUAUGAAGAAGGCCCUAGGGUUGUAAAGUACUUUCAGUAGGGAGGCGUUACCGACAGAAGAAGCACCGGCUAACUCCGUGCCAGCAGCCGCGGUAAUUC